GACGAACGCUGGCGGCGUGCUUAACACAUGCAAGUCGAGCGAUGAAGCUCCUUCGGGAGUGGAUUAGCGGCGGACGGGUGAGUAACACGUGGGUAACCUGCCUCAUAGAGGGGAACUGCCUUUCGAAAGGAAGAUUAAUACCGCAUAAGAUUGUAGUAUCGCAUGAUAUAGCAAUUAAAGGAGUAAUCCGCUAUGAGAUGGACCCGCGUCGCAUUAGCUAGUUGGUGAGGUAAUGGCUCACCAAGGCGACGAUGCGUAGCCGACCUGAGAGGGUGAUCGGCCACAUUGGGACUGAGACACGGCCCAGACUCCUACGGGAGGCAGCAGUGGGGAAUAUUGCACAAUGGGGGAAACCCUGAUGCAGCAACGCCGCGUGAGUGAUGACGGUCUUCGGAUUGUAAAGCUCUGUCUUCAGGGACGAUAAUGACGGUACCUGAGGAGGAAGCCACGGCUAACUACGUGCCAGCAGCCGCCGUAAAAC
rnacentral:rRNA from 1 species